AUUGGAUACUGCGACAGUAAUCCAACUUAGUACGAGAGGAACAGUUGGUUCAGAUACUUGGUUAAUGCGGCUAGCUGAAAAGCUAGUGCCGCGACGCUACCAUCUGUUGGAUUAUGACUGAACGCCUCUAAGUCAGAAUCCAUGCUGGCUAAGCAGUGUUUCUCAUCGCCUCAUUUGUUACUUGCAUGUUUUUUUAGUGCCUCUUGUGCACAACAUCUCACCAACGUCCUCUGCGGCACGCGAAGGGCGAUAAUCGCAAUUUCCCACAUUUGGGGCGCUACAUCCAUUGCAGACGACUUUGGCGCAACCAGGUAUUGUAAGUGCGAGAGUAGGCUUGUCCUACGAUCCACUAAGAUUUAGCCUGCGUUGAACGAUGUGU
rnacentral:ncRNA from 1 species